UGGGGAAUUUUUCGCAAUGGGGGAAACCCUGACGAAGCAACGCCGCGUGGAGGAUGAAGGCCUUCGGGUCGUAAACUCCUGUCGACCGGGACGAACGUAGCGGGGGCCAAUACCUCCUGCUAUCGACUGUACCGGUGGAGGAAGCCACGGCUAACUCUGUGCCAGCAGCCGCGGUAAUACAGAGGUGGCAAGCGUUGUUCGGAAUUACUGGGCGUAAAGGGCGCGUAGGCGGCCUUGUAAGUCCUGUGUGAAAUCCCCCGGCUCAACUGGGGAACUGCACAGGAGACUGCUUGGCUUGAGUUCGGGAGAGGGAAGCGGAAUUCCGGGUGUAGCGGUGAAAUGCGUAGAUAUCCGGAGGAACACCGGUGGCGAAGGCGGCUUCCUGGACCGACACUGACGCUGAGGCGCGAAAGCCAGGGGAGCAAACGGG
rnacentral:rRNA from 1 species